GGCCGUAUGGCAAUGUUGAUCUUUCGAAUCGUGUCAGAUCUGGAAGGAAGCAGCACUAAGAUUGUUUCAGCAUGUGCUGUACGUACAUA
rnacentral:SRP_RNA from 2 species